AAAAAAACCUUUUACGUAUAUUUUUUUUGUUAUAUAUAUAUAACAAUCUGAAGUAAAACAAAAAUAUAAAAAAUUUAAAAAGUUAAGAAGAUAUCAUAAAAAUGGCUAUCACCAAGAAAAUGCUACUUGCAUAUAUGUUGUCAGUAUCUUCCUCAUCGUAUCUUCUGUGCACUGCUCUGAUCGUAUUUUUGGUAUUAGCUUAUUCUUAUAACUCGAUUUUACUUUUAUUGUGAACACAUUUUUUUUUGCUUUAUUUUGAAUGUAUAUAACGAUUUAUAACUGUUGUUACAUAGGUGUUGGAAUCAAUAAAGAAUUAAAACAAUGCUUCCCAAAGCAGCCGUGUGGGAAGACUUGCGAAGAGUAUUGUGUAGGACACAUUAACGAUAAAUGGGGUAUAAGGACAUCUUGUGAAUCUGGCGCAUGUUGUUGUAUAAAAGAUGGUGCUGUAUAACCACGAGAUAUUUUAAUCUCAUCAAAUAUAUGUAUCUCCUAGAAUAAUGGUUUGGAUGUAAUAAAUGGUUUGUGUAUUGUGCUCUCGAUCUUCUUAGCUAAAGAAAAUCAUUAUCUAUUUUCUUUUGAUUGUAAUCUAUUGAGAACACUGAGUCAAAGCAUAAGAAUGUGAAGGAAUCUUUGAUUCAAUGUUGUAAGGCGGACUGCGAGAUACAAUUGUAGAAAGAAAAGUUUAAGAUAGAAACUCAGAGCGCGAAAUAAAUUGCAUAAGGUGAUUAGAAUUGAGAGAAAAGUUAAUUGCCGAAGAACAAUGCUCACAUGCUAGGCUAUAAAAAUUAUGCAUAUUUUAGGAAAAUGUACAUAUGUUUAUUAGUAAAAAUGAGUAAAAACCCAACAAUGUCAAGUAGUUAUUUAUUUUUGAUACUCGAUACUUUUUUGAAUUUGAAAGUAAUUUAAAUAGAUUAUUUGAUAUUCGACUUUGUUCAAGUCAAUUUCCAAAGUUUACAAGUUAAAUAAAGACCAUGUACAUAGUACGAGGAGAGACAUGUAAGGAAUAACUACGCUCAUCUCUAACAAUUCAGUGAUUUCUAUGUAUAAUAUUAAAACAGAAGUACAAAACUUUAUUUACCUAAUUUUAAGUGAUUUUUACAUCUUAUUCAUUCCUUUUUAACUAAUUUUAACCAUUUAAUUUAUUAUAUUUUUCAAUUAAUUCGACAUCAUUUAUUACAAAAGUUUAAAGUAUAAUGUACCUAUUUUAAUUUUUAUUAUAUCUUUACAUUCCUUUUUCAUUCUUCAUGACUACUUCAUUAAUUGUCUUUACCAUAAUAAUUCGACAUCAUUUAGUUUACGUGUUAACAUAAUAAUUCUACAGGUUUGAAUGCAAUUGUUCCAUUUGUGACAAGAAUUCAAACCGGUUAACAAAGAAAGUUUUAUUUAUUUACAUAAUUAGUUAGGCAUAGGUAUUUCGGUAUUCGUUUGGGAAUCGGUUCUUUCAGGUAUCAAGAUUUCGGAUUUUAAAAUUAUGCUCUGUUUGGAUAUUGUAAGUUUAUGGGCAUAGUUAGAGUCGGGCCCUCGGUUAUGAUGUAUAGGAAUAUAAAGCUAUCCAAAAACAUAUGUGUUUAAAAAUGUCAUUAAACAAUAUAUUAAAAAAAAGAGUAAUUGCAGUGUACACACAAGAACUAUUUCAUAAUUAGUUCAUUGCACAUUUAGGGCUUUUGUCUUUUUAAAAAAAAAUUGUAUUGACCAUUAUACCCCUAUGCCUGGACGGUUUCUAUCUUCGAUAUUUAUUCUCAAGAACACAUCAAAGUUCUUUUCUCUGUCCUUUCUUAGAAACCUCAACCUCUCACAAAACUUUCGACGUUAGAUAUCUGCUCUGGUGGCCUUCUUCUCCGUUCGUGGCCACCAGAGGCUUCCUCCUCUCACUCUCCUCUUUGAUUUUUGCUCUGCUUUGCCAUCUUUCGGUCCUUUGUCAAUAUGCGUGAUAUUGUGGGGGAAGCUCCGCCGAGGGUUGUCUUCAUCCGCUCCGGGAGAUGUAGAUCUGAGGUCGGGGGUUCUUCUCUGGAGUGGUCGUGGUGGUGGAUCGGAGUCAGCUCUUCGGCGUUCUCAUCGUGAAUCUUGAUUUUGUCUUUGAAGGUCUUGCGGUGUGAACAGAGGCGGAGGCGAGUGACGGUGAUGGGUGGGCUCUCUCCUCCUGGUAUGGUCGUGUGGUUAUCCGAAGAGUUACUCUUCGCUGUGGAGUGGAGUGAUUGGCUCUCCCUUGCCGGCGACUUAGUGUCUCGUCGUUCGACGAGGGUCUGUUUGUUACUCAGGGUUGGUGAUGGUUCAUUCCCGUCGGACCGUGCACAGGUUAUGGAGCGGCUGUGUGGUUGUUUCGUUUCUGUGUUUUGCGUUUGCAAGCAAAGUUAAGAGUUUUCAGGAUCUGUCUUCUAUGGCUGCUCCUCUUCUCUGGUUUUUCCAUACCUUUGUUAUGUCCUCCUCAUUGCAAGGGUGUGUUGCUUUAACCGUCAGUGUUAGAGCUCUCAGUUAUCGCAUUGUUUGUCUGUUCUGCGUCUCUCCAGCCUGGACUCAGCGUAGAUGCACAGUUAGACCGAAUCAUGUUCUGUGCUCCAGAGCAAGGAUUCGGCUCAAGUCUCUGAUUUUGUCAAUUGGGGUUUGUAUCGAUGUGGAGACUUGCUUGAGUUAACGCCAUCCCGGUGUGUAGUGAAUUGUUUGAUCUUCCCCGCAGAUGUUGUCUCUUCUUUUUACAGAUUAUAUCACAUGUGGUUCUUUUAUGUGAAUAAGUCUUUAUGUUGAUCGUAUCUCAAAGCUUCUACUCUGUUCUUUUACAGGCCAGGCUUGAAAUAAUGGGAAAAAAGGCAACGUUCAUUUCAGGAACAGAGGCUGCAAAGAAGUGUUUGAUUGUUUUAGGAGUUUUCUAUUGUUUUUACCACCAUCGCUCGUCACCACCAUAGCCAUCCGACACCACCACGACCACAACGGCUACCGAAUCUUUUAUCCGCUAUAGUUGUUGACAAUAAUUUGUAAAUAGAAUUUAUAACUCUAUAGUUGUUGACAAUAAUUUUUAAAAUACGGUUUUACAAACUAAAUUGCUGGAGUUUUCAUUUUUAAUAACCAGCUAACUAAAUUUAUAGUUGGCUCUGAUUUUAAAAUACGGUUGUUGGGGUUUUCAUUAUUAAUAACCGGCUAACUAAGUUUAUAUUUGGUCUUGAUUUUAAAAAUAUGGUUAACGAAUCCUUUAUCCUCUAAUAACAUAAUUAACUUGCAUUUUCAAAUCCAAGAUAACAUACCCUAUAGCCAGCCACCGUGCAUCUUCCCCUAAAAACCAGUGGGGUACCAAAUUGCUCGGGUUUCAUAAUUGAUAACAGGAUAAAUAACUUUACAUUUGGCUAUGAUUUAAAAUCUUUGAUAUGCUAAUAACAUAAGUAACUUGUAAAUUCAAACACCUUGAUAAAAUACCCUACGGCCCAGCCACCGUACCAUCUAUACAUAUGUACACAACCCUUAAUGUGGUACCAAACUGUCCGGUUAAACUACAAUUCCGAUUAGUUUGGGCUGAGAUACAAAAUGGGUUGCUAGGUUUAUCUGGACACUACCACACAAAUCUUAAUUUAUUAUGUUUCCAAACGCUUGUACAAUUCGAGGCAUCUCUUAACCCUUAACUCUAUAUUUUGCAGAGUCGCUCAUCGCCAUCUUUCUGAAGCCAUGGAGACGACUCAGAGUCCGGCCUCUGACGCGACAUCAAAUCCCAUGUAUACAAGAAGAGCAAGGUCCUCUAUGCCAGUGUGGGAAGACGUGUCCGGCUACUCUUUUUUUCACACAAGUUGUCUCCGGUUACUUUCAUAAAUAGACAAAAAUGAAUGAUUAUAUUCUCUCUCUUACGUACUUGCGCAACCUCAUUUAGGAAAAUGUACAUAUUAGUAAAAAUGAGUAAAAACCCAACAAUGUCAAGUAGUUAUUUAUUUUUAAUACUCUACACUUUUUUGCAUUUGAAAGUAAUUUAAAUAGAUUAUUUGAUAUUCUACUUUGUUCAAGUCGAUUUUCAAAUUUUACAAGUUAGAUAAAGACCAUGUGCAGAGUACGAGGCGAGACAGGUAAGGAAUAACUAUGCUCAUCUCUAACAAUUCAGUGAUUUCUAUGUAUUAAAUAAAAACAGAAGUACAAAACAUUAUUACCUAAUUUUAAGUGUUUUUUACAUCUUAAUCAUUCCUUUUUAAACUAUUUUUAACCCUUUAAUUUAUAAUUUUUUCCAAUAAUUCGACAUCAUUUAUUACAGAAGGGUAAAAUAUAAUGUACCUAUUUUAAGUUUUUAUUAUAUAUUUACAUUCCUUUUUCAUUCUUCAUGACUACUUCAUUAAUUGUCUUUACCAUAAUAAUUCGACAUCAUUUAGUUUACGUGUUAAUAUAAUAAUUCUACAGGUUUGAAUGCAAUUCUUCCAUUUGUGACCAGAAUUCAAACCGGUUAACAAAGAAAGUUUUACUUAUUUACAUAAUUAGUUAGGCAUGGGUAUUUCGGUAUUCGUUUGGGUACGAAUCGGUUUUUUCAGGUCUCAUGAUUUUGGAUUUUUAAAUUAUGCUCUGUUUGGAUAUUGUAAGUUUAUGGGCAUAGUUCGAGUCGGGUCCUCGGUUAUUAUGUAUAGGAAUAUAAAGCUAUCCAAAAGCAUAUAUGUUUAGAAAUGUCAUUAAACAAUUUAUUAAAAAAGAAAAAGUAAAACACAACAGACAAGCGGAUCAAGUUCUAGUUAGAUUUCAAAAAUUUAGAGAGGAUUCAUGUCUCUAAGGGGAGAUUUGAACAAACAUUAAAAUCACGGAUUCGAUAAAUCAAAAAGAUUUGCUUCCUUUGAUGUAUUUGACUACGAAACUAAACUUUGUUUUUAUUCAUAUUAUAGAAACUUAUUUUGAAAUUAAGUAUGUCUUUUAUGUUUACCAAAUAUUUUUCAUGAAAGAUUAAAAUAUUACCCUACCUAUAUUGAAACAUAAUUACGAAAUAGACUAUUUUCUUUUGACUAUAAUCUGAAGAAAUAAAUCAAAAUGAUUCUUUUGACUUAAAAAUACCUUUUACGUAUAUUUUUUUGUUAUAUAUAUAUAUAUAUAUAUUAUAUAUAUAUAUAUAUAUAUAUAACAAUCCGAAGUAAAACAAAAAUAUAAAAAAUAUAAAAAGUUAAGAAGAUAUCAUAAAAAUGGCUAUCACCAAGAAAAUGCUACUUGCAUAUGUUGUCAGUAUCUUCCUCAUCGUAUCUUCUGUGCACUGCUCUGAUCGCAUUCUUGGUGCUGGAAUCAAUAAAGAAUUAAAACAAUGCUUCCCAAAGCAGCCGUGUGGGAAGAUUUGCGAAGAGUACUGUGUAGGACACAUUAACGAUAAAUGGGGUAUAAGGACAUCUUGUGAAUCUGGCACAUGUUGUUGUAUAAAAGAUGGUGCUGUAUAACCACGAGAUAUUGUAAUCUCAUCAAAUAUAUGUAUCUCCUAGAAUAAUGGUUUGGAUGUAAUAAAUGGUUUGUGUAUUGUUCUCUCGAUCUUCUUAGCUAAAGAAAAUCAUUAUAUAUUUUGUUUUGAUUGUAAUCUAUUGAGAACACUGAGGCAAAACAUAAGAAUGUGAAGGAAUCUUUGAUUCAAUGUUGUAAGGCGGAUUGCGAGAUACAAUUGUAGAAAGAAAAGUUUAAGAUAGAAACUCAGAGCGCGAAAUAAAUUGCAUAAGGUGAUUAGAAUUGAGGGAAAAGUUAAUUCUCGAAGAAGAAUGCUGACAUGCUAGGCUAUAAAAAAUUAUGUAUAGUUUAGGAAAAUGUACAUAUGUUUAUUAGUAAAAAUGAGUAAAAACCCAACAAUGUCAAGUAGUUAUUUAUUUUUGAUACUCGAUACUUUUUUGCAUUUGAAAGUAAUUUAAAUAGAUUAUUUGAUAUUCGACUUUGUUCAAGUCACUUUCCAAAUUUUACAAGUUAAAUAAAGACCAUGUACAGAGUACGAGGAGAGACAGGUAAGGAAUAACUAUGCUCAUCUCUAACAAUUCAGUGAUUUCUAUGUAUAAUAUUAAAACAGAAGUACAAAACAUUAUUUACCUAAUUUUAAGCGAUUUUUACAUCUUAUUCAUUUCUUUUUAAACUAAUUUUAACCAUUUCAUUUAUUGUAUUUUCUAAUUAAUUCGACAUCAUUUAUUACAGAAAUUUAAAGUAUAAUGUACCUAUUUUAAGUUUUAUUAUAUCUUUACAUUCCUUUUUCAUUCUUCAUGACUACUUCAUUAAUUGUCUUUACCAUAAUAAUUCAACAUCAUUUAGUUUACGUGUUAACAUAAUAAUACUACAGGUUUGAAUGCAAUUGUUCCAUUUGUGACCGGAAUUCAAACCGGUUAACAAAGAAAGUUUUACUUAUUUACAUAAUUAGUUAGGCAUGGGUAUUUCGGUAUUCGUUUGGGUACGAAUCGGUUUUUUCAGGUCUCAUGAUUUUGGAUUUUAAAAUUAUGCUCUGUUUGGAUAUUGUAAGUUUAUGGGCAUAGUUCGAGUCGGGUCCUCGGUUAUUAUGUAUAGGAAUAUAAAGCUAUCCAAAAGCAUAUGUGUUAGAAAUGUCAUUAAACAAUUUAUUAAAAAAGAAAAAGUAAAACACAACAGACAAGCGGAUCAAGCUCUAGUUAGAUUUUAAAACUUUAGAGAGGAUUCAUGUCUCUAAGGGGAGAUUUGAACAAACAUUAAAAUCACGGAUUCGAUAAAUCAAAAAGAUUUGCUUCCUUUGAUGUAUUUGACUACGAAACUAUACCUUUUUUUUUAUUCAUAUUAUAGAAACUUAUUUUGAAAUUAAGUAUGUCUUUUAUGUUUACCAAAUAUUUUUCAUGAAAGAUUAAAAUAUUACCCUGCCUAUAUUGAAACAUAAUUACGAAAUAGAAUAUUUUCUUUUGACUAUAAUCUGAAGAAAUAAAUCGAAAUGAUUCUUUUGACUUCAAAAAAACCUUUUACGUAUAUUUUUUUUGUUAUAUAUAUAUAACAAUCUGAAGUAAAACAAAAAAUAUAAAAAAUUUAAAAAGUUAAGAAGAUAUCAUAAAAAUGGCUAUCACCAAGAAAAUGCUACUUGCAUAUGUUGUCAGUAUCUUCCUCAUCGUAUCUUCUGUGCACUGCUCUGAUCGUAUUUUUGGUGUUGGAAUCAAUAAAGAAUUAAAACAAUGCUUCCCAAAGCAGCCGUGUGGGAAGACUUGCGAAGAGUAUUGUGUAGGACACAUUAACGAUAAAUGGGGUAUAAGGACAUCUUGUGAAUCUGGCGCAUGUUGUUGUAUAAAAGAUGGUGCUGUAUAACCACGAGAUAUUGUAAUCUCAUCAAAUAUAUGUAUCUCCUAGAAUAAUGGUUUGGAUGUAAUAAAUGGUUUGUGUAUUGUGCUCGCGAUCUUCUUAGCUAAAGAAAAUCAUUAUCUAUUUUCUUUUGAUUGUAAUCUAUUGAGAACACUGAGUCAAAGCAUAAGAAUGUGAAGGAAUCUUUGAUUCAAUGUUGUAAGGCGGACUGCGAGAUACAAUUGUAGAAAGAAAAGUUUAAGAUAGAAACUCAGAGCGCGAAAUAAAUUGCAUAAGGUGAUUAGAAUUGAGAGAAAAGUUAAUUGCCGAAGAACAAUGCUCACAUGCUAGGCUAUAAAAAAUUAUGCAUAUUUUAGGAAAAUGUACAUAUGUUUAUUAGUAAAAAUGAGUAAAAACCCAACAAUGUCAAGUAGUUAUUUAUUUUUGAUACUCGAUACUUUUUUGAAUUUGAAAGUAAUUUAAAUAGAUUAUUUGAUAUUCGACUUUGUUCAAGUCAAUUUCCAAAGUUUACAAGUUAAAUAAAGACCAUGUACAUAGUACGAGGAGAGACAUGUAAGGAAUAACUACGCUCAUCUCUAACAAUUCAGUGAUUUCUAUGUAUAAUAUUAAAACAGAAGUACAAAACUUUAUUUACCUAAUUUUAAGUGAUUUUUACAUCUUAUUCAUUCCUUUUUUAACUAAUUUUAACCAUUUAAUUUAUUAUAUUUUUCAAUUAAUUCGACAUCAUUUAUUACAAAAGUUUAAAGUAUAAUGUACCUAUUUUAAUUUUUAUUAUAUCUUUACAUUCCUUUUUCAUUCUUCAUGACUACUUCAUUAAUUGUCUUUACCAUAAUAAUUGGACAUCAUAUAGUUUACGUGUUAACAUAAUAAUUCUACAGGUUUGAAUGCAAUUGUUCCAUUUGUGACAAGAAUUCAAACCGGUUAACAAAGAAAGUUUUAUUUAUUUACAUAAUUAGUUAGGCAUAGGUAUUUCGGUAUUCGUUUGGGAAUCGGUUCUUUCAGGUAUCAAGAUUUCGGAUUUUAAAAUUAUGCUCUGUUUGGAUAUUGUAAGUUUAUGGGCAUAGUUAGAGUCGGGCCCUCGGUUAUGAUGUAUAGGAAUAUAAAGCUAUCCAAAAACAUAUGUGUUUAAAAAUGUCAUUAAACAAUAUAUUAAAAAAAAGAGUAAUUGCAGUGUACACACAAGAACUAUUCCAUAAUUAGUUCAUUGCACAUUUAGGGCUUUUGUCUUUUUUUAAAAAAAAUGUAUUGACCAUUAUACCCCUAUUCCUGGACGGUUUCUAUCUUCGAUAUUUAUUCUCAAGAACACAUCAAAGUUCUUUUCUCUGUCCUUUCUUAGAAACCUCAACCUCUCACAAAACUUUCGACGUUAGAUAUCUGCUCCGGUGGCCUUCUUCUCCGUUCGUGGCCACCAGAGGCUUCCUCCUCUCACUCUCCUCUUUGAUUUUUGCUCUGCUUUGCCAUCUUUCGGUCCUUUGUCAAUAUGCGUGAUAUUGUGGGGGAAGCUCCGCCGAGGGUUGUCUUCAUCCGCUCCGGGAGAUGUAGAUCUGAGGUCGGGGGUUCUUCUCUGGAGUGGUCGUGGUGGUGGAUCGGAGUCAGCUCUUCGGCGUUCUCAUCGUGAAUCUCGAUUUUGUCUUUGAAGGUCUUGCGGUGUGAACAGAGGCGGAGGCGAGUGACGGUGAUGGGUGGGCUCUCUCCUCCUGGUAUGGUCGUGUGGUUAUCCGAAGAGUUACUCUUCGCUGUGGAGUGGAGUGAUUGGCUCUCCCUUGCCGGCGACUUAGUGUCUCGUCGUUCGACGAGGGUCUGUUUGUUACUCAGGGUUGGUGACGGUUCAUUCCCGUCGGACCGUGCACAGGUUAUGGAGCGGCUGUGUGGUUGUUUCGUUUCUGUGUUUUGCGUUUGCAAGCAAAGUUAAGAGUUUUCAGGAUCUGUCUUCUAUGGCUGCUCCUCUUCUCUGGUUUUUCCAUACCUUUGUUAUGUCCUCCUCAUUGCAAGGGUGUGUUGCUUUAACCGUCAGUGUUAGAGCUCUCAGUUAUCGCAUUGUUUGUCUGUUCUGCGUCUCUCCAGCCUGGACUCAGCGUCGAUGCACAGUUAGACCGAAUCAUGUUCUGUGCUCCAGAGCAAGGAUUCGGCUCAAGUCUCUGAUUUUGUCAAUUGGGGUUUGUAUCGAUGUGGAGACUUGCUUGAGUUAACGCCAUCCCGGUGUGUAGUGAAUUGUUUGAUCUUCCCCGCAGAUGUUGUCUCUUCUUUUUACAGAUUAUAUCACAUGUGGUUCUUUUAUGUGAAUAAGUCUUUAUGUUGAUCGUAUCUCAAAGCUUCUACUCUGUUCUUUUACAGGCCAGGCUUGAAAUAAUGGGAAAAAAAGGCAACGUUCAUUUCAGGAACAGAGGCUGCAAAGAAGUGUUUGAUUGUUUUAGGAGUUUUCUAUUGUUUUUACCACCAUCGCUCGUCACCACCAUAGCCAUCCGACACCACCACGACCACAACGGCUACCGAAUCUUUUAUCCGCUAUAGUUGUUGACAAUAAUUUGUAAAUAGAAUUUAUAACUCUAUAGUUGUUGACAAUAAUUUUUAAAAUACGGUUUUACAAACUAAA